rnacentral:tRNA from 1 species
GCGGGAGUAGUUCAGCGGUAGAACGCAAGCUUCCCAAGCUUGAUGUCGGGGGUUCGACUCCCCUCUCCCGCUCCA